rnacentral:rRNA from 3 species
UUUGGUGGCAAUAGCGCGAGCAAAACACCCGAUCCCGUCCCGAUCUCGGAAGUUAAGUGCCGCAGCGGCAAUGGUACUGCGUCUCAAGACGUGGGAGAGUAGCUCACCGCCAAAC